UACGGAGGGUGCAAACGUUGCUCGGAAUUAUUGGGCGUAAAGCGCACGUAGGCGGUCCAGCAAGUCGGGUGUGAAAGCCCUCGGCUUAACCGAGGAAGUGCAUUCGAAACUACUGGACUUGAAUGCUGAAGAGGAUCGCGGAAUUCCCGGUGUAGAGGUGAAAUUCGUAGAUAUCGGGAGGAACACCAGUGGCGAAGGCGGCGAUCUGGGCAGAUAUUGACGCUGAUGUGCGAAAGCGUGGGGAGCAAACAGG
rnacentral:rRNA from 1 species